UUUAUUCUGUGGCAUAAGGAGAAAUGUAGCAUAAUAGCUGCUCUUUUCUAUAUUAAGAAAGUGAAUUGAGAUGGACACUAUCAAGCAAUGUAAAAGGUCUAGAAGGAUUAAAUAAGCCCCAUAUACCUUGUAAAUAAUGACGGGUGAACUAACCUGUUAACACGUCUCAGUGUGGCUGGUAUGCUUGUUUUUUCCUUCCUCUUUCACACUUUAUUUCAGGGGACAGUUUUGUGGAACAGAGAGCUCUGUCCACAUCUAGCACAGAGCACUAUUGUCCCCUCGGUGUCUUUUGAGGAGAGAGGGCUCUCUUAAAGGUCAUCCUACAGCACCAGUGCCCUUUAACCCCAUUUGCCCCAGGAGUGGCUGCUCUCGACCAGGGUUGCGGCGGUAAUCAGAGCUCUGGAGCCCUUCCCAGGCUUCUAUGCAGAAUGAGUCUGGAGAGGAGAAGAGAGCACUUCUACAAGAAGACACUGGAGAGCCUCUAUAGGCUAUUAGAGACUUCUAGUGUGUGUUUGUGUGUGGGUGCAAAAUAAGCAGGCCAAGAACAACUGCUCUUCUGCCAAAAGUUGUACAUGCACAAAAACCAGCUCACGCAUGCACAAACACAUCCUUUACCACCCUUCCCUGUUUUCAUUUAGUCUGCUUUUCUAUUCAUUGCUCUCUCUCUCAGGUGGUCUCGGAACCAAAAACUAGUGCUUUGAUUCAUUAGCGCUGCACAAGGUCCAAUUGUUUAUCUCACAAUUGAUAUUGAUUGGGAUUUGGGGGGAACAGUAAUUGGAGGAUGAUUUUUGACUGGUUGCACCUGCUCACCUGAUGCCUUCAUUUGCUCUUCUUUCUUCUGGGAAUAAUCUGCGAUUCAUCUUCACUGCCUGCUCUCUGCAGAACUUAAUGGGUGGUAACUCUUCUUCAGAGAUGCAAGAAACUUAAAGCUGUGAACCUUUCCUGCUUUUCAGUUUGAGUCCAGAGCCUCGAGCGCUGCUGCUAUUGAUGCUGCUAGAAAGCAGGUGGAGCCGCUGGCUAAGUUGACUGGAGGGAAAGUGAAGGAUGUCUCCAAAGAGACUGACGUGAAUAUCCUCAAGAACUUGAUUGCAGAGCUGCAGAAAGAGGUAACCGAGCUGGAGAAGCGUGGAGACGAGUUGGAGGCCGAAAUAGAAGCCAAGAAAGCCAAAUACCUGGAGGAGAUAGAGGAGCUGGAGGUACAAACGCUCACUGAUCGUAUUCUACUGCAGCAGUUCUCAGUAUCUCACCACUGUGCUGUCUCUGUUCAGAAUUACAUUUGUCAGCUGGAGGAGGAGGAGGCUGAUCUUCAGUUCCAGAUGAAGGAUCAGAGUGGGGACUAUGAAGAACUGCUGAAUCAGAAGAUGAAUCUAGACAUAGA
ensembl:lncRNA